CAGAUGGACAGAUUAUAGCUUUAGCGAUUCUGAAUUUAUAAUAUUAUUCCUUAACAACAUACAUUUACAAUGAGCAUGUACUCAUUUUUAUAGUGCUGAGAGAAGACAGCCCCUUCAGAUCUUAUGGAAAUCAAUUCCAUCUAGACGAAUUGAUACCCCUUCCAGCCCCUUGUGAGAACCAGAGAUUGAACAUAUUCUGCAAAACAAAGAAUCUUCCUGGAUAACAGCAGGAGCGACCCAAACUUCCCUUUUGGGGAUCUCGGCUAUCCUCAAGACAAAAGUCCAAGAGGAAACUUUGAUUGUAGUCCCAUCACCAAUAGACAUUUCUGGGACCCUUCCUUUGUCUUCUCAGCAUGAGAAGAUGUCUAGAGAACCGGCACUCAUUUUCUUUUUAUUCAGUACCUCAUAUCUACAUAAUCCUAUCAAUCAUCUUUUCAAACUUUUUUGUCUUCAGCAUUCCAUUACUUCACACACAGGGAUUGACACAGCCCCUGGAAAUGUCUUCGCUCCCAGGACCACCUCUGCUGGCUCAUUGGAAGCCCUAAGGCCUACCUGCCCAGCUGGAAGGAAAUCCCCGGCUGCAUCAUCGCUGCCUUCACCAAUCAGGAUACAACCCAGCUCCUGGCCAAUCAGAUGCCUGGCCGGCUUCUCAGCGCUGGCCAAUUGGGGGACGGGAGGAAGUUUUUAAAUAUAGCAAUGUUAAUGCAUGGAAUCCUUUUGUAUAAAAAUGCCUGCUUAUGA